rnacentral:piRNA from 1 species
UGGAACAACAUUAUGAGCUAACCAGUACC